rnacentral:sRNA from 1 species
CCAGGCCCAAGGGGGACGCGGCCCUGAAGAUGCGGGCGUCAGUGCGCAUGACCCGGUACCUCGAGUCCUGGGGGGCGGCACGGCCCUUUGCGCAUCUCAACCACCGUGAGAGCGUGAGCAGUGGUGAGACCCCCGUCCCCAACGGGCGGAGGCCUAAGAGCGUUCCCCAGCGCCACCGCCGGACCCCAGACAGAAGCAUGUCCCCCAAGGGGCGGUCGGAGGAUGACUCGUACGAUGAUGAGAUGCUGUCAGCCAUCGAGGGGCUCAGCUCCACGAGGCCCUGCUGCUCCAAGUCCGACGACUUCUACACUUUCGGGUCCAUCUUCCUGGAGAAGGGCUUUGAGCGCGAGUACCGCCUGGCACCCAUCCCCCGGGCCCGCCACGACUUUGCCUGCGCCAGCCUGAUCUUCAUCUGCAUCCUGCUCGUCCAUGUCCUGCUCAUGCCCAGGACGGCGGCACUGGGUGUGUCCUUCGGGCUGGUGGCCUGUGUACUGGGGCUGGUGCUGGGCCUGUGCUUUGCCACCAAGUUCUCGGUAAGUGGGGAGCUCUGGCCCCGUGGGCCCUCCCUCCCUGCCUCGGGACGCCUGCCUAGGAGCCCUCCCUGGUGAGCUUGGCCAGGCUGAGCCCCUGCUCUGGUCAAGGUUGGGUGCCCAUCUCUCCUGCCUCGGGGACAAUUUCCUGAGUGCCCUGGAGGCUUCUUCCGAGGGUACCCCUCCCCAGGCUGCCAGUGACCAGCCCUCCUUGCCCAGGCUGUUGGCUCUGGGUGACUUGACCCUGUUACCCCACAGAGGUGCUGCCCAGCCCGGGGGACGCUCUGCACUAUCUCUGAGAGGGUGGAGACGCAGCCCCUGCUGAGGCUGACCCUGGCCGUCCUGACCAUCGGCAGCCUGCUCACUGUGGCCAUCAUCAACCUGGUGGGUCCUGGGGUGGGGAGGCAGGCCUCCUGGGUAGAGGGAGACCUCCAGAUUUGGGACGCCUACAAUGUGGCCUUAAAAGCUGCCUCUGGUUGACCUCUCCCCCGAGCUCAGCAGGUGGAUGUGGGGGGUUCCCCUUUGCAGACUCAGGGCUCCUCACCUUUGGGUUUUCAAAUGAGGACUUUGGGGGCCCAGAGAGCUUGUGUGGCCAGCCCCAGGAGGAUGUGGGGACUUGAGCCACCACAUCCUGACAUCCCAUUCAUUCUUCACGGCCCUUCUGAGACUCAGUUUCCCCUCUUGGAGAUGAACCUUGCUCCUCUGCUGGUGCUCAGAGGCUCAGUGCUGCAGAAAGCAGCCUGCGGGACACUUGUCCACCUCCCUCCCAGACCCCGCAUCCCGGGCUAG